rnacentral:rRNA from 2 species
UACGGGGGGGGCAAGCGUUGUUCGGAAUUACUGGGCGUAAAGGGCUCGUAGGCGGCCGUUUUAGUCCGACGUGAAAUCCCACGGCUCAACCGUGGAACUGCGUCGGAUACUGAAUGGCUUGAAUCCAAGAGAGGGAUGCGGAAUUCCAGGUGUAGCGGUGAAAUGCGUAGAUAUCUGGAGGAACACCGGUGGCGAAGGCGGCAUCCUGGAUUGGUAUUGACGCUGAGGAGCGAAAGCCAGGGGAGCAAACGGG